UUAUAACGUAUCUGUCAAUCUACACAAGCAGCACUUUCGUGGAUUACCUACUUUUCUAAUCAUCUAGAUGUGUGAGUUUGAGUCAUAGUCAUUACCCAACAAAAUUUCAGACGAAAUAAUUUACAAAUGAUGCAAUAAUUCUACAUCUAGACAUUGGCCUAAGCGCCAUGAAAUGGGAAGUAACAGUCAAGGCUGCUUUCCGAAGGUGUUAAGAACAAGACCUGGCGUAUCCUAUUCUGUCUGUUCAAAUAAUAAAUAUGUAGAUUGAAAAGAGAGGCGAGAGGUGUGGUGAAUGUGAGUUUCUUGCAUUGAAUAUUUCAAUGAAACAGGGCCGUGUAUUUGCACCAAUUUUAAACCACACAGUCAAAUAAUCGCACAAUACCUACAAAAUCACCCAUCAUUCAUGAAAUUUUGAAUUAAAAAAAGAAAGGAAAAAACUCAACACUAGGAGAAAAUUAAGAUACGGUCCUGUUUCACCCAAUUGGCGUACAUGGGUAUAGACUCCAAGUGUUGUAUAGCCUACGGUACUUUUUUUAUUCGAUGUCUGUGGAAAUUUCCACGAUCGUUUGAGAAUUCAGACUCAGUGGCGUACCAGGAAUUUAGGUAAUUUGCAAAUAAUAUGAGCAAUUUAUCCGUCCUUGAAUCCGUGUGACUAAGUUUCUCAAAAAAUAUUUUUAUGACUUGUAAUAAAUUUUUUAUCAGUGA